GAUGAACGCUGGCGGUAUGCUUAACACAUGCAAGUCGUACGAAGUGCGAUGGGGUUUACUCUAUCGUAUGGCAGUGGCGGACGGGUGCGUAACGCGUAAGAACUUACCUUUUGGCGAGGGACAACCGCGGGAAACUGCGGCUAAUACCUCAUAGAGCUGAGGAGCGAAAGGUGAAAACCACCAAAAGAGAGGCUUGCGUCUGAUUAGCUAGUUGGUGAGGGUAAUGGCCUCCCAAGGCGACGAUCAGUAGCUGGUCUGAGAGGAUGAUCAGCCACACUGGAACUGAGACACGGUCCAGACUCCUACGGGAGGCAGCAGUGAGGAAUUUUCCGCAAUGGGCGCAAGCCUGACGGAGCAAUACCGCGUGGAGGAGGAAGGCCCGUGGGUCGUAAACUCCUUCUCUCAGAGAAGAACACAAUGACGGUAUCU
rnacentral:rRNA from 1 species